rnacentral:rRNA from 1 species
GAUGAACGCUGGCGGCGUGCCUAAUACAUGCAAGUCGGGCGAACAGACGAGGAGCUUGCUCCUCUGACGUUAGCGGCGGACGGGCGAGUAACACGUGGAUAACCUACCUAUAAGACUGGGAUAACUUCGGGAAACCGGAGCUAAUACCGGAUAAUAUAUUGAACCGCAUGGUUCAAUAGUGAAAGACGGUUUUGCUGUCACUUAUAGAUGGAUCCGCGCCGCAUUAGCUAGUUGGUAAGGUAACGGCUUACCAAGGCGACGAUGCGUAGCCGACCUGAGAGGGUGAUCGGCCACACUGGAACUGAGACACGGUCCAGACUCCUACGGGAGGCAGCAGUAGGGAAUCUUCCGCAAUGGGCGAAAGCCUGACGGAGCAACGCCGCGUGAGUGAUGAAGGUCUUCGGAUCGUAAAACUCUGUUAUUAGGGAAGAACAAAUGUGUAAGUAACUAUGCACGUCUUGACGGUACCUAAUCAGAAAGCCACGGCUAACUACGUG